CCUACGGGUGGCAGCAGUGAGGAAUAUUGGUCAAUGGGCGCGAGCCUGAACCAGCCAAGUCGCGUGAGGGAAGACGGUCCUAUGGAUUGUAAACCUCUUUUGUCGGGGAGCAAAAGACGCCACGCGUGGCGUUCCGAGAGUACCCGAAGAAAAAGCAUCGGCUAACUCCGGGCCAGCAGCCGCGGUAAUACGGAGGAUGCAAGCGUUAUCCGGAGUUAUUGGGGUUAAGUGGUGCGCAGGCGGAAGAUCAAGUCAGCGGUAACAUUGAGAGGCUCAACCUCUUCGAGCCGUUGAAACUGGUUGUCUUGAGUGAGCGAGAGGUAUGCGGAAUGCGUGGUGUAGCGGUGAAAUGCAUAGAUAUCACGCAGAACUCCGAUUGCGAAGGCAGCAUACCGGCGCUCAACUGACGCUCAUGCACGAAGGUGUGGGUAUCGAACAGGAUUAGAUACCCGAGUAGUC
rnacentral:rRNA from 1 species